UACGUAGGGUGCAAGCGUUAAUCGGAAUUACUGGGCGUAAAGCGUGCGCAGGCGGUUUUGUAAGUCUGACGUGAAAGCCCCCGGGCUUAACCUGGGAAUUGCGUUGGAGACUGCAAGGCUUGAAUCUGGCAGAGGGGGGUAGAAUUCCACGUGUAGCAGUGAAAUGCGUAGAGAUGUGGAGGAACACCGAUGGCGAAGGCAGCCCCCUGGGUCAAGAUUGACGCUCAUGCACGAAAGCGUGGGGAGCAAACAGG
rnacentral:rRNA from 1 species